rnacentral:rRNA from 1 species
AACGGACAGCGGCGAAAGGGAGAGUAACGAGUAGAUACGUACCCAAGGGUUCGGGAUAGCCAUGCGAAAGCGUGAGUAAUACCGAAUAAUGUCUCCGGACCAAAGAUUUAUCGCCCUUGGAGCGGUUUGCUUACUAUUAGCUUGUUGGUGGGGUAAAGGCCUACCAAGGCUUAGAUGGUUAGCGGGUGUGAGAGCAUGACCCGUCUCACUGGGACUGAGACACUGCCCAGACACCUACGGGUGGCUGCAGUCGAGAAUCUUCCGCAAUGGACGAAAGUCUGACGGAGCGACGCCGCGUGCUGGAUGAAGGCCCUCGGGUUGUAAACAGCUGUCGUAGGGGAGGAAAUUUUGACCG